rnacentral:rRNA from 1 species
CCCAGUAAACGGCGGCCGUAACUAUAACGGUCCUAAGGUAGCGAAAUUCCUUGUCGGGUAAGUUCCGACCUGCACGAAUGGCAUAAUGAUGGGGGCGCUGUCUCCAGCAGAGGCUCAGUGAAAUCGAAAUCGCCGUGAAGAUGCGGUGUACCCGCGGCUAGACGGAAAGACCCCGUGAACCUUUACUGCAGCUUGACAUUGAACUUUGAUCUUACUUGUGUAGGAUAGGUGGGAGGCUUUGAAGUCGCGACGCUAGUUGCCAUGGAGCCGUCCUUGAAAUACCACCCUGGUAAUAUUGAGGUUCUAACUCUGUCCCGUUAUCCGGGACGAGGACCAUGUCUGGUGGGUAGUUUGACUGGGGCGGUCUCCUCCUAAAGAGUAACGGAGGAGUACGAAGGUGCGCUCAGCGUGGUCGGAAAUCACGCGUAGAGUAUAAAGGCAAAAGCGCGCUUAACUGCGAGACCCACAAGUCGAGCAGGUACGAAAGUAGGUCUUAGUGAUCCGGUGGUUCUGUAUGGAAGGGCCAUCGCUCAACGGAUAAAAGGUACUCUGGGGAUAACAGGCUGAUACCGCCCAAGAGUUCAUAUCGACGGCGGUGUUUGGCACCUCGAUGUCGGCUCAUCUCAUCCUGGGGCUGAAGCAGGUCCCAAGGGUAUGGCUGUUCGCCAUUUAAAGAGGUACGCGAGCUGGGUUUAGAACGUCGUGAGACAGUUCGGUCCCUAUCUACCGUGGGCGCUGGAAAUUUGAGAGGAUCUGCUCCUAGUACGAGAGGACCAGAGUGGACGAACCUCUGGUGUACCGGUUGUGACGCCAGUCGCAUCGCCGGGUAGCUAUGUUCGGAAGGGAUAACCGCUGAAAGCAUCUAAGCGGGAAGCCUACCUCAAGAUAAGAUUUCCCUGUGACUUUAUGUCACCUAAAGAGCCGUUGAAGACUACGACGUUGAUAGGUUGGAUGUGGAAGUGUAGCGAUACAUGAAGCUGACCAAUACUAAUUGCUCGUGAGGCUUGACUAU